UCCAAUGUGGUGUAGUGGCUAACAUUGCUGUCUUUCAUGACACGCACGGUGAACAAUGCACAGCAGCCCGGGGUUCGAUUCCCCGCAUUGGAA